rnacentral:lncRNA from 1 species
GGACUUGUUAGCUAGCUACAGGGUUAGAGUCACCUUAGCAGUUGUUUUAUCAAACAGCUCAGCUAGCCUCACUAGCUAGCUAAUGAGAUUAACAAACAGAUUAACAAACGGCUCAGCCACAAAGCGGUAGGCCACACAAGCUCACAGAACAGGACCGCCAAGUGCUGAAGCGCAUAGCGCGUAAAUAUCAUCUGUCCUCAAUUGCAACACUUACUAUCGAGUUCCAACUGCCUCUGGAAGCAACGUCAGCAAAAUAACUGUUUUUGUCGGGAGCUUCAUGAAAUGGGUUUUCAUGGACGAGCAACAGCACACAAGCCUGAAAUCACCAUGCGCAAUGCCAAACGUCGGCUGGCUUGGUGUAAAACGCACCGCCCUUGGACUCUGGAGCAGUGGAAGCGUGCUCUCUGGAAUGAUGAAUCACGCUUCACCAUCUAGCAGUCCGAUGGUGGAAUCUGGGUUUGGCGGAUAACAGAGGAAUGCUACCUGAACAAAUGCAGCGCUAACUGUAAAGUUUGGUGAAGGAAUACUGGUCUGGGUCUGUUUUUCCAUGGUUUGGGCUAGACAAUGACAUUCUAGACGAUUCUGUUCUUCCAUAAUCUAAAGGUUCACGACCUCAGUCACUUAAGAUGACCUUAGGAGAACCGUGGGUGUUGAAGAUGUCCAACAUCGCCUUGGAGGUGGCCUCGCCUGUGUUGUCCUUGAUGGGUAUCACACAAAAGAAAAUCUAUUUUUGGUUCCAAGCACCCUUUUUAAAUGGGUUACAGAAGGGAGUUAAGCACGUUCUCUUCCUUUACAGACCUUAAUGUGUAUUGCCUCCAUCCACAGACACCGGCUGUUGCCAUUCCUGGAUUUCGUGAAGGGUCCAAAUGAGGUCCACCUCUAACAUAUAAAGUGUUAGAGAGAAGAUGACUUAAUUCUUACCCGUAUCUGUGUCAUUCAGUAUGCAGAUUUUCAUAUUUGUAAGGAUAAUGACACACAACCUAUAAUAUUGAACUCUGCA